AUUGAACGCUGGCGGUAUGCUUAAGACAUGCAAGUCGAACGGUAACAGACCUUCGGGUGCUGACGAGUGGCGGACGGGUGAGUAACACGUGGGAAUCUACCUUGUAGUGGGGGAUAAGCCAGGGAAACUUGGACUAAUACCGCAUACGCCCUAAGGGGAAAGGAGCAAUUCGCUAUAAGAUGAGCCCGCGUCUGAUUAGCUAGUUGGUGAGGUAAAAGGCUCACCAAAGGCGACGAUCAGUAGCUGGUCUGAGAGGAUGAUCAGCCACACUGGAACUGAGACACGGUCCAGACUCCUACGGGAGGCAGCAGUAGGGAAUAUUGGACAAUGGGGGCAACCCUGAUCCAGCCAUGCCGCGUGAGUGAAGAAGGCCCUCGGGUU
rnacentral:rRNA from 1 species